CUUACCUUAAUUUAUGGUCAACUUGUCACAAUCAUCACACAUUAUAAUAUUGCAAUUUGAAUACAGCAUAUUCAAAUGAUUGUGCCAGCGUAUACAUCUGAUAAUCUCAUCAUCCAUGGCGAUUCAAGAAGAACAGAAGACCAGUUUAGUCAUCGUCACCUAUGAUUUCCCACUACAAAUAUCUAAGAUUCCAAAUCGAUAUUGAAAGCCUGCAGCGUGAUGAAAUUCCAUUUCAAGAUAGAAAUGGCCAGAUUAACUGGGUGAAGAUAAAGAAGGGAAACUAUGUCUGAAAUAAAUAUAUGAAAAAUGAAGAACCUGUUGAAAUGGGAUGGAUCUGGCUGAACGGACCGCCUGGCUUUAUAGGGAAUAUUAGAGAAGUGACCCGUUCAAAGUGCGAUGGAGAAGGCUAUCCAGAGCCCUUUUUAUAGCCCAAUCCAACUCUCAAAGGAAACUGCAAGUUACAGAGUCUCCUUUAAAUCUGACAUGUUUUCCCUGUAAAAUGAAGAUGAUAAUUUUGCUGAAAGAAGUUUAUAGUGAGACAGGCAUGCACAGUAGUUACUGAAACAAUAUGAUAAGGACUACCUUUUCUUCUGUCUUUUUGCCCUCUUCUGCUUCCCAGUACUCAAGCAGCAAUACUAAUCAAUAAGCUGGUUUAAGGAUUCCAAAUCGAUAUUGAAAGCCAGCAGGGCGAUGAAAUUCUAUUGGAAGAUAGAAAUGGCAGGAUUAAUUGGGUGCAGAGAAAGUAGGGGAACGACAUAGAACUGAUAGAAAUAUAUGAAAAGGAAGGAUGGAUAUGGAUGAACGGACCGCCUGGCUUUGUAGGGAAUAUUAGAGAAGUAACUCGUUCAAAGUGCGAUGGAGAAGGCUAUUCGGAGUGAUGCUUCCUGGUCUAUCAGUAAAAGUUGCAGAGUCUUCUUUAAAUCUGACACGUUUUCCCUGUAAAAUGAAGAUGAUGCUUAUGCUGUAACAAGUUUAUAGUGAGACAAGCAUGCACAGUAGUUACUGAAACAAUAUGAUAAGGACUACUUUUUCUUCUGUCUUUUUGGUCUUUUCUGCUUCCCAGUACUCAAGCAGCAAUACUGAUCAAUAAGCUGGUUUACAGAUUCCAAAUCGAUAUUGAAAGCCUGCAGGGUGAUGAAAUUCUAUUUGAAGAUAUAAAUGGCCAGAUUAAUUUGGUGCAGGUAAACUGGGGAAAUAGAACUGAUAGAAAUAUAUGAAAAAUGAAGAACUAGUUGUAGUUGAAGUGGGUUGGAUAUGGCUCUAUUUAUAGCCCAAUCAAACUCACAAGGGAAACUGCAGUGAAGCUUCCUGUUCUGAAGGUAACUGAGCAACACUAUUAAACGUUGAAAAAGUAUACAUUAGUUAUAGUCUCGUUUGUUUAUUAAUUUGAUCGAUCGGCUUGGUGGUUUUUUGGUUUUCUGCUACAUUA